AGUGAACGCUGGCGGUAGGCCUAACACAUGCAAGUCGAACGGCAGCACAGUAAGAGCUUGCUCUUACGGGUGGCGAGUGGCGGACGGGUGAGGGAUACAUCGGAAUCUACUUUUUCGUGGGGGAUAACGUAGGGAAACUUACGCUAAUACCGCAUACGACCUACGGGUGAAAGCAGGGGAUCUUCGGACCUUGCGCGAUUGAAUGAGCCGAUGUCGGAUUAGCUAGUUGGCGGGGUAAAGGCCCACCAAGGCGACGAUCCGUAGCUGGUCUGAGAGGAUGAUCAGCCACACUGGAACUGAGACACGGUCCAGACUCCUACGGGAGGCAGCAGUGGGGAAUAUUGGACAAUGGGCGCAAGCCUGAUCCAGCCAUACCGCGUGGGUGAAGAAGGCCUUCGGGUUGUAAAGCCCUUUUGUUGGGAAAGAAAAGCAGCAGGUUAAUACCCCGCUGUUCUGACGGUACCCAAAGAAUAAGCACCGACUAACUUCGUG
rnacentral:rRNA from 1 species